rnacentral:rRNA from 1 species
UGCAAGUCGAACGAGAAAGCACUUCGGUGUGAGUAUAGUGGCGGACGGGUGAGUAACGCGUAGGAAUCUACCUAGUAGUGGGGGACAACUCGAGGAAACUCGAGCUAAUACCGCAUACGCUCUUAGGAGGAAAGUGGGGGAUCUUCGGACCUCACGCUAUUAGAGGAGCCUGCGUUAGAUUAGCUUGUUGGUGAGGUAAAGGCUCACCAAGGCGACGAUCUAUAGCUGGUCUGAGAGGACGAUCAGCCACACUGGAACUGAGACACGGUCCAGACUCCUACGGGAGGCAGCAGUAGGGAAUCUUGGGCAAUGGGCGAAAGCCUGACCCAGCGAUGCCGCGUGUGCGAAGAAGGCCUUAGGGUUGUAAAGCACUUUCAGUCGUGAAGAAAAGCUACGAUUUAAUAUGUCGUGGUCUUGACGUUAGCGACAGAAGAAGUACCGGCUAACUCCGUGCCAGCAGCCGCGGUAAUACGGAGGGUACGAACGUUAAUCGGAAUUACUGGGCGUAAAGCGCGCGUAGGCGGUUUGAUAAGUGGGAUGUGAAAGCCCCGGGCUCAACCUGGGAACUGCAUUCCAAACUGUCAAACUAGAGUGUGGUAGAGGGCGGUAGAAUUUCCUGUGUAGCGGUGAAAUGCGUA